UACGUAGGGGGCAAGCGUUGUCCGGAAUCAUUGGGCGUAAAGCGCGUGUAGGCGGCCCGGUAAGUCCGCUGUGAAAGUCGGGGGCUCAACCCUCGAAUGCCGGUGGAUACUGUCGGGCUAGAGUGCGGGAGAGGCGAGUGGAAUUCCUGGUGUAGCGGUGAAAUGCGUAGAUAUCAGGAGGAACACCGAUGGCGAAGGCAGGUCUCUGGGCCACUACUGACGCUGAGAAGCGAAAGCAUGGGGAGCGAACAGG
rnacentral:rRNA from 1 species